AUCCGACCUUUGCAUUAUUUCAUUCGAAUCAUGGAGAAUUUAAAGAGUUUCAAUUUAUUUAGUCAUUAAAAUAAAAGAGUCAGGCUUUAGCAGAUUUCUCCUUUCAUGUGGUGAUAAAGCAGCACGAGGAUACUCUUGAUUGCCGAUAAUACUCUGACUUCUUGACAGGGUCUACAACAAUGAUAUCUUAUCAGUUUAUGGAGAGGAGCGAGCUUUUGAUGUGCUUUAGGAGAAAAUAUUAUUAUUUCCUAAUAUUUUGUUUAUUAGAACUUGAUAUUUUGUAAAGAUGUUCAUCCCGGAGAAUUCGCCAUAAAUUUCCCGAAAACUAUAUCAUGAAAGUUUUUGGUCAAUUUUAAUUUUGCUCUUGAUACUUCAUGUUAAUUAGAGGAUAUCUAUUUUGAAUUAUUAUU